AUUGAACGCUGGCGGAAUGCCUUACACAUGCAAGUCGAACGGCAGCACGGACUUCGGUCUGGUGGCGAGUGGCGAACGGGUGAGUAAUGUAUCGGAACGUGCCCAGUCGUGGGGGAUAACGUAGUGAAAAUUACGCUAAUACCGCAUACGAUCUAUGGAUGAAAGCGGGGGAUCGCAAGACCUCGCGCGAUUGGAGCGGCCGAUAUCAGAUUAGGUAGUUGGUGGGGUAAAGGCCCACCAAGCCAACGAUCUGUAGCUGGUCUGAGAGGACGCCCAGCCACACUGGAAGUGAGACACGGUCCAGACUCCUACUGGAGGCAGCAGUGGGGAAUUUUCGACAAUGGGCGAAAGCCUGAUCCAGCCAUUCCGCGUGCAGGAUGAAGGCCCUCGGGUUGUAAACUGCUUUUGUACAGAACGAAAAGGUUUCUACUAAUACUAGGAGCUCAUGACGGUACUGUAAGAAUAAGCACCGGCUAACUACGUGCCAGCAGCCGCCGUAA
rnacentral:rRNA from 1 species